rnacentral:rRNA from 1 species
AGUGAACGCUGGCGGUAGGCCUAACACAUGCAAGUCGAACGGCAGCACAGUAAGAGCUUGCUCUUACGGGUGGCGAGUGGCGGACGGGUGAGGAAUACAUCGGAAUCUACUUUUUCGUGGGGGAUAACGUAGGGAAACUUACGCUAAUACCGCAUAUGACCUACGGGUGAAAGCAGGGGAUCUUCGGACCUUGCGCGAUUGAAUGAGCCGAUGUUGGAUUAGCUAGUUGGCGGGGUAAGGGCCCACCAAGGCGACGAUCCGUAGCUGGUCUGAGAGGAUGAUCAGCCACACUGGAACUGAGACACGGUCCAGACUCCUACGGGAGGCAGCAGUGGGGAAUAUUGGACAAUGGGCGCAAGCCUGAUCCAGCCAUACCGCGUGGGUGAAGAAGGCCUUCGGGUUGUAAAGCCCUUUUGUUGGGAAAGAAAAGCAGCAGGUUAAUACCCCGCUGUUCUGACGGUACCCAAAGAAUAAGCACCGGCUAACUUCGUG